AACGGUCUAUACCUGCGGUACCUGCGGAGGGAUCAUUACAUGGCGGAGGAGGUGGGCACCUAGUAAAAACAAAACCCUAGGUGUGUUGCCUACCACGCUUUCUACCCUUGUCUAUUUGCACCUUUUGUCGUUCCCUCGGUGGGUCUUGAACCUGCCGGCGGCAACUUUCAAAAACCUUUUGUAGUUAGUAUCUAAUUCUUCUGAUCAAAUAUUCAAUCGUUACAACUUUUAGCAAUGGAU
rnacentral:misc_RNA from 1 species